CCCGAAACUAGGUGAGCUACUUCGAAAUAGUUAUAAGAACUAACCCGUCUCUGUUGCAAAAGAGUGGGAAAAUUUCCAAGUAGAGGCGAUAAACCUACCGCACCAAGAGAUAGCUGGUUACUCAAGAAAAGAAUAUAAGUUCUUCCUCAAGUUUUUUAGUCCCCAUAAACCCCAAUUAAACUUUAGAGUUAUUCAAAUAGGGCACAGCUUAUUUGAAAAAGGAUACAACCUACCAUAUCGGGUAAUUAAUCAAGAAAAACUGUCAAGUGGGCCUAAAAGCAGCCACCUUUCAAAAAGCGUUAAAGCUUUACUUUUAUUCUUUAAAAAUAACCUUAUUAUUACUCAACCCAUUACUAAUAUUGAGUGACUCCAUAAGAAUAUGGAAGAAAUAAUGCUAGAACUAGUAACAAGAAGUAGAACUUCUCCAAAAUGUAAGCCUAAGCCACUUUAGACACCCUAUUGGCAAUUAACGCUUAUGAAUCCACUUUAAUAACUCCCCAAGAGAACUUUAAACAUCUCAACGUUAAACUUACACUAGAACAUUUUUGGAAAGAUAAAAAGAAAAAGAAGGAACUCGGCAAAUAUAAACCC
rnacentral:rRNA from 1 species